UACGUAGGUGGCAAGCGUUGUCCGGAUUUACUGGGCGUAAAGGAUGCGUAGGCGGACAUUUUAAGUCAGAAUGUGAAAUACCCGAGCUUAACUUUGGGUGCUGCAUUUGAAACUGGGUGUCUAGAGUGCAGGAGAGGUAAGUGGAAUUCCUAGUGUAGCGGUGAAAUUGCGUAGAGAUUAAGGAAGAACACCAGUGGCGAAGGCGACUUACUGGACUGUAAACUGACGUGGAGGCAAUGAAAGCGUGGGGGAGCAAACAGG
rnacentral:rRNA from 1 species